GCCUGGAUAGCUCAGUUGAUAGAGCAUGUGACUUUUGAUCUCAGGGUCUUGAGUUCAAGCCCAUGCUGGGUG
rnacentral:tRNA from 1 species